rnacentral:rRNA from 1 species
UACGAAGGGGGCUAGCGUUGCUCGGAAUCACUGGGCGUAAAGGGUGCGUAGGCGGGUUUUUAAGUCAGGGGUGAAAUCCUGGAGCUCAACUCGAGAACUGCCUUUGAUACUGAAGAUCUUGAGUCCGGGAGAGGUGAGUGGAACUGCGAGUGUAGAGGUGAAAUUCGUAGAUAUUCGCAAGAACACCAGUGGCGAAGGCGGCUCACUGGCCCGGUACUGACGCUGAGGCACGAAAGCGUGGGGAGCAAACAGG